GUAGGUGGUGUGUCGCGUNGUCUGUGAAAUUCCGGGGCUUAACUCCGGGCGUGCAGGCGAUACGGGCACGACUAGAGUGCUGUAGGGGUAACUGGAAUUCCUGGUGUAGCGGUGAAAUGCGCAGAUAUCAGGAGGAACACCGAUGGCGAGGGCAGGUUACUGGGCAGUUACUGACGCUGAGGAGCGAAAGCAUGGGGAGCGAACAGGAUUAGAUACCCUGGUAGUCCAUGCUGUAAACGGUGGGCGCUAGGUGUGGGCUGUGUGUUUGCAGUCUGUGCCGUAGCUAACGCAUUAAGCGCCCCGCCUGGGGAGUACGGCCGCAAGGCUAAAACUCAAAGGAAUUGACGGGGGCCCGCACAAGCGGCGGAGCAUGUGGAUUAAUUCGAUGCAACGCGAAGAACCUUACCUGGAUUUGACAUGCACCAGAUCGGCGUAGAGAUACGUCCUCCCUUGUGGUUGGUGCACAGGUGGUGCAUGGUUGUCGUCAGCUCGUGUCGUGAGAUGUUGGGUUAAGUCCCGCAACGAGCGCAACCCUUGUCUUAUGUUGCCAGCACAUUUUUGGUGGGGACUCAUGAGAAACUGCCGGGGUCAACUCGGAGGAAGGUGGGGAUGACGUCAAAUCAUCAUGCCCUUUAUACCCAGGGCUUCACACAUGCUACAAUGGUCGGUACAACGGGUUGCGACACUGUGAAGUGAAGCUAAUCUCUUAAAGCCGGCCUCAGUUCGGAUUGGGGUCUGCAACUCGACCCCAUGAAGUCGGAGUCGCUAGUAAUCGCAGAUCAGCAACGCUGCGGUGAAUACGUUCCCGGGCCUUGUACACACCGCCCGUCACGUCAUGAAAGUUGGUAACACCCGAAGCCCAUGGCCUAACCACCGCUUUUGUGGUGGGGGGAGUGGUCGAAG
rnacentral:rRNA from 1 species